UACGUAGGGUGCGAGCGUUAAUCGGAAUUACUGGGCGUAAAGGGUGCGUAGGCGGCCUGCUAAGUCGAACGUGAAAUCCCUGGGCUCAACCCAGGAACUGCGUCCGAUACUGGUUGGCUUGAAUCCGGGAGAGGGAUGUGGAAUUCCAGGUGUAGCGGUGAAAUGCGUAGAUAUCUGGAGGAACAUCGGUGGCGAAGGCGGCAUCCUGGACCGGUAUUGACGCUGAGGCGCGAAAGCCAGGGGAGCAAACAGG
rnacentral:rRNA from 1 species